rnacentral:rRNA from 1 species
GAUGAACGCUAGCGGCAGGCUUAACACAUGCAAGUCGAGGGGUAGGUUACUUCGGUAAUUGAGACCGGCGCACGGGUGCGUAACGCGUAUACAAUCUACCUUUUACAGAGGGAUAGCCCAGAGAAAUUUGGAUUAAUACCUCAUAGUAUUUUUGAAUCGCAUGAUUUGAUUAUUAAAGUUCCAACGGUAAAAGAUGAGUAUGCGUCCCAUUAGCUAGAUGGUAAGGUAACGGCUUACCAUGGCUACGAUGGGUAGGGGUCCUGAGAGGGAGAUCCCCCCACACUGGUACUGAGACACGGACCAGACUCCUACGGGAGGCAGCAGUGAGGAAUAUUGGACAAUGGGCGCAAGCCUGAUCCAGCCAUGCCGCGUGCAGGAAGAAGGUCCUAUGGAUUGUAAACUGCUUUAUACAAGAAGAAACACUCCCUGUGAGGAACUUGACGGUACUGUAUGAAUAAGGACCGGCUAACUCCGUAGCCAGCAGCCGC